AUCCUUUUGUAGUUCAUAAGCACAAUGACUGGGUGUUCAUGGGGAUAUGUGAGAUGUGCCUCCCUCAAACAAACCCUGUUACAAGUCGACACAUUACCCGUCUGACA